rnacentral:rRNA from 1 species
AUACGGAGGGGGUUAGCGUUGUUCGGAAUUACGGGGCGUAAAGCGCACGUAGGCGGACUGGAAAGUUGGGGGUGAAAUCCCGGGGCUCAACCUCGGAACUGCCUCCAAAACUUCCAAUCUAGAGAUCGAGAGAGGUGAGUGGAAUUCCAAGUGUAGAGGUGAAAUUCGUAGAUAUUUGGAGGAACACCAGUGGCGAAGGCGGCUCACUGGCUCGAUACUGACGCUGAGGUGCGAAAGCGUGGGGAGCAAACAGGAUUAGAUACCCGAGUAGUCC